rnacentral:lncRNA from 1 species
CUUUGAACUUAUCCUCUGAAACCACACCACAGAAUUUCAUGUAACCUUGUAGAUAAUAAGGACAUACUAUGCAUAGGCGGAUCCAGGGGGGCCCUGGGGGGCCCGCCCCCUCCCCCUUUUCGUGGAAAAAAUUUGGUUGAUUAUAUAGGGAAUUACUGAAGCAUGACUGGAGCGCCCCCCCCCCCCCCUUUAGGUCAGUCAGCGGGCCCCCCUUAGGAAAAGUUCUGGAUCAGCCACUGCUAUGUAGAUGUACAUAUCAACAGGAAAUUAUGAUUCAUUUUUUUUUCUUAUACAACAUUUUUUUCUUACAGUUAUUUUAUUCCUCCAGUGACAAUGUGGGGACGUGGGGCAUGUAAGCGCGCUCACUAAGGUUCUUUAAUUUUAUUUCUCCACGAAAAUAUUUGCACAUUAUUUGGGGUUUGGCCAAAGGAGUAUGUAUUUGGUCAUUUUUAGAGUAAAAUGAUAGCCUUGGAUCCUGGCUGACUGUUCGACAGAAGAGCCAGGUGGAAUACAACCUGGUUUGUCAAUAGGAUAUUAG